UCGUUGCCCGAGAAGACAUGGCCAAUCCGCCACAUCCCAGCUGGAAACAUCUUGUGUAGAAACACCCAAAGGUGGCUUCAGAUCUGGCGGUAAGGGACCUGCAGUUGCAGCGGGCCACUUCCCUCGCACCCCCUGGGCGUGCUGGGCCCUGGGGAACACCUCCCGCUCCCUGGGCGUGCUGGGCCCUGGGGAACACUGAGUUUCUACGGCUCCUACAAUCCCGUAGUUUUCUCCCUUGAAUCAAACCUUGACCUUUGAAGCCCUGAGUUUUGUAGAUUUAAACUGACCUGAAGGGACCGAGAAAGGACUCAGUGAGGCCGGGAGUCUCCCCGGCAGCUCUGAACACAGCAGGGAAGGAUCGGAUUGCUCACCCCUCUGGCUGCCCCUUGGAAGGGACUCCCACACCGCAGCGAACUUUGCAAAGACUCCUGAGGACAUUUUGCUUUGAAGGGAGAGGUGACCGCGAAACUAGAGGCCAGAGAGGCAGGACACAUACCUGCAGUGGAGUGGACACUCACUAAGAGGAGUCAGUCCAGCGGGUUCUCCUUGCACAAGACCUGAAGUGGUGCUGGGAGAAUGAGCUGCCUAGACGGCCUCCUCCAGCUGUUGCCCCCGGGGAACGACCGUGACCUUCGCAGUCUUCAUGACCUCCAAAGGCCUCAAGGACCCUGCAGGACAGCACAGGACAGGGCGGGACUUCACUGCCAAGACAGCAGCUCUGCCUUCCAAGGCCUCAGCAAGGAGUCCAGGUGCGUGUGUAUGUGUAUGCAGCUGUCUGUGUUUGCUGUAUGCAGCGGCCCCUGGGGCUCGGGCUGCAGGGCGCCACACCAAGGUCACUUCUAGGAGCCAGCAAAGUGAUGGAAGUUGAGGACAGGCGGGCAUCUCUGGAGCGCCUUCCUUUCUUGUGGGAACAGGAGUAAAGACUGGGGUGAGAAGGUUCAGGGUCCACCAUGUUCUGGCCCAGACCCCAGUCUCCAGAACCCUGUCUGCAUGGCCUCUCACCCAUGGACAGCUCCAUCCAGCUGAGCCAGGUACCAGCUGUCCCCCACGAGCCAUGCUUCUGGAGCCUCAGGGUGGUGAGCAGGUGACUUGCAGCUCCCCAGCCAGAAACCCUUUACCUGGGCGUCACCCCAGCUCCUACUGAUGCCCGCGGACACAGUAAGGAGGCCAGCAGGUGGGGAGUGGGACUUCCUGCCCAACGUGGAGCGUGUCUGCACCGUCCCCCUGCCUGCCCGGGCCACAGUCUCCUUCUUGGCUGCAGACCGUGGCCUCCGUGGGGCCUCUGCCCCAAGGCUCCCUCCUUACCUGAACUCACAGGCAUAGUACCCUCACCCUCACCCAGCCGCACGGACCGGGCUGCAGGGGGCGGGACAGCUGCCGUGGAAUUCGUCAUCAGGGAAACCGAAGGCACACAGAGUAGACAGUGACCCACCAGGAGAUAAACGUUAAGUGGGCACGGAGGUCGUGUCCAGGGCAGGCAAGGAAUUCCACCUGGGGAGGCUCUGCAGGGCUGGCCUUGGCUGGCAAUGACCUCGGACCGCGGAGGUUCUCAGGCCGUGCUCAGGCUGCAGUGUAGAGAAGAGACGGAAGACGGGGGCUGCAGGGACGUCUUUAUUGUUCCUGGGAGGGAGCAGUAUACACAGCCACGCUGCAGUCACUGAGCUCGUUAAAGAC